rnacentral:rRNA from 1 species
UCAGCCGCCGCGGUAAAACGUAGGUGGCGAGCGUUAUCCGGAAUCACUGGGCGUAAAGGGCAUCUAGGCGGCCCGGCCAGUCGCGUGUGAAAGCCCCCGGCUCAACUGGGGGAGGACGUGCGAAACUGCCGGGCUUGAGGGUCAGAGAGGGACGUGGAAUUCCCGGUGUAGUGGUGAAAUGCGUAGAGAUCGGGAGGAACACCCGUGGCGAAAGCGGCGUCCUGGCUGACCCCUGACGCUGAAGUGCGAAAGCGUGGGGAGCGAACGGGAUUAGAUACCCCGGUAGUCCACGCCGUAAACGAUGAUGACUAGGUGUAGGGGGCCUAACCACCCUCUGUGCCGCAGCCAACGCGAUAAGUCAUCCGCCUGGGGACUACGGCCGCAAGGCUAAAACUCAAAGGAAUUGACGGGGGCCCGCACA